rnacentral:lncRNA from 10 species
ACAUGCUGUGUCAGGUUCAGGAUGUCUCCAACUGGAGAACACUGAGAUUUGAUGUUUUAGGAGAGUAAAGCUGACUGCCCAGCACAGAGCUGUAUUCAGAAUCCAUUUCAGAGCCUCAAGCCUUGCCUGGCAGCUGCCUCACCACAUCAGCCGCCGAGGCUGGCAGCUCCCACUGCUUUGAGCUCAUCAUUCAAAGAUGAUUCCUGCAGCACGCUUGAGUGACAGAGCUAAGAUGAGAGGGGAUGAAUUGUCCAGGGUUUCUGCAGACAGACCAAAGGUGAUGAUCCCACAUCAGCAACAAGAGUCAGGAGGAAGUCUUCAGAAGCAGGAAUGCAUAGAUCCAAGAAAGAUCAUAUGUGAAGCACCAGUCUAUGCUCUGUAUCUCGCCUUCCACUUUUCAAGGCAUCACUCUGAUGAAGAUCUCCUCCUUCAGCUGUGCUCUCCAUGGCCUCUGAACAUAUAACAUAGUCCUAGCUCACCCAAAUGAAACAAACAGACAAAGAAGAUCUGCUUCAAAAUGAUGGCUCUCUCAAUGGAGAAACCUGAAAAUGGCUGACAUCCUUUAAAGAAGACAGAUUCACACACACACACACACACACACACACACACACACACGCACGCACGCACACAUUCAUGCGAUCUUUUUCACCCAUCCCCACGUCCCCACAUUAAGCUACCGUUUUAUCACUUCUUCCACCUACCAGGACAUCUCUUUUUUUUUUUUUUUGAGACAGAGUUUUGCCCUUGUUGCCCAGGCUGGGGUGCAAUGGCACGAUCUCGGUUCACAGCAACUUCCGCCUCCCCAGUUCAAGCCAUUCUCCUGCCUCAGCCUACCAAGUAGCUGGGAUUACAGGCAUGCACCACUAUACCUGGCUAAUUUUGUAUUUUUAGUAGAGACAGGGUUUCUCCACGUUGGUUAGGCUGGUUUCUCCACGUUGGUUAGACGGGGUUUCUCCAUGUUGGUUGGGCUGAUCUCGAACUCCCGACCUCAGGUGAUCUGCCGCCUCAGCCUCCCAAAGUGCUGGGAUUACAGGCGUGCUGGGAUUACAGGCGUAAGCCACCACGCUGGCACAUCUCUCUUUUUUAAACUUUUAUUUUAGAUGCAAGGGAUACAUGUGCAAGUUUGUUACCUGGGUAUAUUGUGUGAUACUAAGGUCUGAGGUAUGAAUGAUCUUGUCACCCAGGUACUGAGCAUAGUACCUAAUAGUUUUUCAACCCUUGCCCUCUUCUCCUCCUCCCCCUCUAUUAGUCCCCAGUUUCUAUUGUUGCCAUCUUUGUGUCCAUGUGUAUUCAAUCUUGAUCUCCCACUUCUAAGUGAGGACAUGCAGUAUUCAGUGGUUUUGUUUCUGCAUCAGUUGGCUUAGGAUAACGGCCUCCAGCUGCAUCCCUGUUGCUGCAAAGGACAUGAGUUCAUCCUUUUUCAUGGCUGCAUAAUAUUCCAUGGUGUACACAUAUUAUAUUUUCUUUAUUCAAUCCCCCAUUGAUGGGCACUUAGAUUGAUUCCAUGUCUUUGCUAUUGUGAAUAGCACUGCAAUGAACAUGUGAAUGAAUGUGUCUUUUUGGUAGAAAGAUUUGCUUUCUUUUGGAUAUAUACCAAAUAAUGGGAUAAUAGGAUUGCUGUUCUUUGAGAAAUCUCCAAACUGCUUUCCACAGGGGCUGAAUUCAUUUGUACUCCCACCAACAGUGUAUAAGCAUUCCCUUUUGUUUGCAGCCUCUACAGCAUCUGUUGUUUUUUUUCACUUUUUAGUAGUAGCUAUUCUGACUGGUGUGAGAUGGUAUCUCAUUGUGGUUUUGAUUUUUAUUUCUUUGAUGGCCAGUGAUGUGGAGCAUUUUGUCAUAUGUUUGCUAGUUGCUUGUAUAUCUUCUUUUGAAAAGUGCAGGACAUCUCAAUAUUUACUUUAACUCAACUCUGUGUGUGUGUGUGUGUGUGUGUGUGUGCAGGUAGGGAGGAAAACAAGGACAGAAACCAGGAGGCCCAGCCCAGGAUUAAAAACACACCACAGCCUUUCCAAAAAGUCAGAGUCAUACAUGGAUCACUUGGAAAUAACUGAACUUGCAAAUCCAGUUUCCCAUGGACCUGCUGAGUUUAUGAGGAUUCCAAUUCCUGCCUGAGAUUUCAGAAUACCCUUCCUGCCCUUCUUUGAAGAUGGCCAGGAUCCUUGAGGAUGCCUUGCAGUUGUUGGGCCACCCUCAAUUUCCCAUAAAGGUGGCAUAGCCACCCCCUCCGCCAACACAUACCUUAUUAAAAUCUUUCUCAGUCUCCCUUGAAUUCUUUCGUGUACAUCCGGCACUCGGGCCUGCAAUUAUCUUGCUUUUAAAUCACCUGCAGAGGAAGAAGGCAUGCAGGCAGAAGCUGGCUGGGGCAUGUCCUGGUCAUCAUUGUGUGCCCAGGUAGGCAGUGGGCCCUUUGAGAAAAGGACGGCAUUCUCUUCUUGUCACUCCCCCAUCCCUACCACCCCUCACUGAGCAUAGUAGAAAUUUAAUAAAAAUUUGUCAAUAGAUUAAUUGCAUCAUUACCUGGUUCUGUUGUGAAAGCAGAAGCUAAUCCCCCUGAGACUUUACUCCCCUGCUUUAUUUAUUUAUUUAUUUAUUUAGAGACAGGGUCUCAUUCUGUCACCCAGGCUGGAGUGCAGUGGUGUGAUUAUAGCUCACUGCGCCUCAAACUCCUGGGCUCAAGCGGU